AAUCCCUUAGUCAAUCCAAAAGUCCCCUGCACUGUAAUCUCCACCACGACUUCCGCAAAGGGAUUCACUAUGCUCAUCGACUUCCUUUGCUAGAAUCGGUUUCAAAUCCACCGGUUCUUGUUUUUCCUUGGAAUUCUCUUAUUGGAAUUCUUGGAUUUCUCGUUGCUUGGACUCUUGAGGAUGGAAAAAUCAGCAAUGGACUUCCAGUCUUCAUUGUACAUGAAGACCUCGAAAAAGAACACCGAAAAUACCACAACGGAUAUUGAGAAAUUGUUGUUGUUACGGCUUUUGAUUGCUGCGUUUUCAGAGUGGAACAGAGGUCCUUUCUGGCGAGGUGGCUCCUUCACCUGGUCUUCUUCCAUGGCUGCGGAACUGAACUCUGCAACAAUAAUAAUUGAGGAUAAGAGUGGAGAGGAAAAUGUCCCUAAACUGAUGGUGGCCACGGGCAACCCCAUCAUUCCUUUAUUGAUCAUGUGCCAAACCACAGAGACGAUGUGAAGAUCUACCAUGGUGAAGCACUAUGCAAGCAGAAAUCUCAGGAGCUCCUUGGAGGGAUCACUUUCCCAAAAGGCUUCCCCUCUGGACGGCGUCACUGAGGUGAGCUACAACCACACCACGGGCUUUGCCUGGGUGAAACAAAAGUGCAAGGAGCACCUCUUCUGCUCAAUUUCGUACUACACCGAGGUCAUGGCUUUUGUGGAGGACCGCCUCAUGAGGAGGCUCACCGGGGUCAAGAGCAACGAGUUUCACAUCUGAGUCACCAUCUCUGAUAUCUACAUUACGACCCAGUCUCGGUAAAGAUCAUCUUCG